CCGGUUGAUCCCGCCGGACCCCACUGCUAUCGAGGUGGGACUAAGCCAUGCUAGUCGAACGAACUUAGGUUAGUGGCACACUGCUCAGUAACACGUAGCUAACCUACCCUUAAGACGGGGACAACCCCGAGAAAUUGGGGCUAAUCCCAGAUAGGUGUGAUGUCCUGGAAUGGUAUCACGCUCAAAUGUGUUCGCACGCUUAAGGAUGGGGCUGCGGCCGAUCAGGCAGUUGGCGAGGUAACGGCUCACCAAACCUUUGACCGGUACGGGCCAUGAGAGUGGUAGCCCGGAGAUGGACACUGAGACAAGGGUCCAGGCCCUACGGGGCGCAGCAGGCGCGAAACCUCCUCAAUGCACACACGUGUGAAGGGGUUACCUCGAGUGCCACCUGAAGAAGGUGGCUUUUCUGUGGUCUAAAAAGCCUAGGGAAUAAGAGGGGGGCAAGACUGGUGUCAGCCGCCGCGGUAACACCAGCCCCUCGAGUGGUGGGGAUGAUUAUUUGGCCUAAAGCGUCCGUAGCUGGCCGUGUAAGUCCCCCGUUAAAUCCAGCGUCUCAAGCGUUGGACUGCGGGAGAUACUGCUCGGCUAGAGAGUGGGAGAGGUGUGCGGUAUUCUGGGGGUAGGGGCGAAAUCCUUUGAUCCCCGGAGGACCACCAGUGGCGAAGGCUGCACACUAGAACACGUCUGACGGUCAGGGACGAAAGCUGGGGUAGCGAACCGGAUUAGAUACCCGGGUAGUCCCAGCUGUAAACGAUGCAUGCUAGGUGUUGGGUCGGCCAUGAGCCGCCUCAGUGCCGCAGGGAAGCCGUUAAGCAUGCCGCCUGGGGAGUACGGCCGCAAGGCUGAAACUUAAAGGAAUUGGCGGGGGAGCACCACCAGGCGUGAAGCCUGCGGUUUAAUUGGAUUCAACGCCGGAAAUCGUC
rnacentral:rRNA from 1 species